rnacentral:rRNA from 1 species
AUGAUCCCCCUCGCCACACUGAAGGAAAAGUCCUCUGGAUUCCUUGUCGAAAACAGCUGUGCUUUCGGUGUCGAGUUUAUCAAAGUUACUGCUGCUAAAACUAAUGAUGCGACAGAGAAGCUGUUUGUUCAGAAGAAGAUAAACAAAGUCUCGAGUAUUCCAGAAGUCUACACCUGGGACAUCGAGGACUUCUUUGCGCUCAAAAGCCCGAGCCACUCUCCAGAUUUUGACCUCCAUGGACACAAAUGGUUCAUCACCAUCGAUCCAUCUGGAUUCGAUAAGAAUGGAAACUUUAUCUCCUUGUCCUUGACCAUGAAGGUGACGGACACACUCCAUGAGAACUCCGCGAACCUGGUAGAAUUGGACAUACGCAUCAAAAACCAGGGAAGUGGCAAGGACAAUGUACAAAAAGGCCGGUGCGAGUUCUCAAAGAAUGCUAAUAGAUGGGGAUGGGGCAAUUUCAUAUCACCGGAAGAUUUCAAGGACUCUUCAAAUGGUUAUCUCGUGGAAACGAAAUGCUGCAUUGAAGCUAAGGUUGCCGUUAUUGGUGCCUCCAAAAUGGAGUAG